GGAGAAAUGGCAUAGUGGUAGAGCAUUUGCCUGGCAUGCAUAAAGCACUGGGUUUUAUCCU
rnacentral:tRNA from 1 species